rnacentral:rRNA from 1 species
UGCCAGCAGCCGCGGUAAUACGGAGGAUCCAAGCGUUAUCCGGAAUCAUUGGGUUUAAAGGGUCCGUAGGCGGUCUUAUAAGUCAGUGGUGAAAGCCCAUCGCUCAACGAUGGAACUGCCAUUGAUACUGUAAGACUUGAAUGCUUAGGAAGUAACUAGAAUAUGUAGUGUAGCGGUGAAAUGCUUAGAUAUUACAUGGAAUACCAAUUGCGAAGGCAGGUUACUACUAAGUGAUUGACGCUGAUGGACGAAAGCGUGGGGAGCGAACAGGAUUAGAUACCCUGGUAGUCCACGCCGUAAACGAUGGAUACUAGCUGUUCGGAGCAAUCUGAGUGGCUAAGCGAAAGUGAUAAGUAUCCCACCUGGGGAGUACGCACGCAAGUGUGAAACUCAAAGAAAUUGACGG